rnacentral:rRNA from 1 species
UUGGAGGGCAAGUCUGGUGCCAGCAGCCGCGGUAAUUCCAGCUCCAAUAGCGUAUAUUAAAGUUGUUGCAGUUAAAAAGCUCGUAGUUGAAUUUCGGGAUCAAUAUUUCGGUCAUGCCGUUGGUAUGCACUGUUAUCAUUGAUUUCUCACCUUCUAAAGAACCGUAAUGCCAUUAAUUUGGUGUUACGGGGAAUUAGGACUGUUACCUUGAAAAAAUUAGAGUGUUUAAAGCAGGCUCACGCUUGAAUACAUUAGCAUGGAAUAAUGAAAUAGGACAUCCGAUUCUAUUUUGUUGGUUUCUAGGAUCGAUGUAAUGAUUAAUAGGGAUAGUUGGGGGCAUUAGUAUUCAAUUGUCAGAGGUGAAAUUCUUGGAUUUAUUGAAGACUAACUACUGCGAAAGCAUUUGCCAAGGAUGUUUUCAUUAAUCAAGAACGAAAGUUAGGGGAUCGAAGACGAUCAGAUACCGUCGUAGUCUUAACCAUAAGCUAUGCCGACUAGGGAUCGGAUGAUGUUAAUUUUUUAAUGACUCAUUCGGCGCCUUACGGGAAAC